UACGUAGGGUGCAAGCGUUGUCCGGAAUUAUUGGGCGUAAAGGGCUCGUAGGCGGUCCGUCACGUCGGGAGUGAAAACUUGGGGCUUAACCCCAAGCCUGCUUCCGAUACGGGCGGACUAGAGGUAGGCAGGGGAGAACGGAAUUCCUGGUGUAGCGGUGAAAUGCGCAGAUAUCAGGAAGAACACCAAUGGCGAAGGCAGCUCUCUGGGACGGUACUGACACUGAGACGCGAAAGCGUGGGGAGCGAACAGG
rnacentral:rRNA from 1 species